rnacentral:rRNA from 1 species
GGCGGGUGCUAUAAUGCAGUCGAGCGGAAGUGGGAGCUUGCUCCCUGAUGUUAGCGGCGGACGGGUGAGUAACACGUGGGUAACCUGCCUGUAAGACUGGGAUAACUCCGGGAAACCGGGGCUAAUACCGGAUGCUUGUUUGAACCGCAUGGUUCAGACAUAAAAGGUGGCUUCGGCUACCACUUACAGAUGGACCCGCGGCGCAUUAGCUAGUUGGUGAGGUAACGGCUCACCAAGGCAACGAUGCGUAGCCGACCUGAGAGGGUGAUCGGCCACACUGGGACUGAGACACGGCCCAGACUCCUACGGGAGGCAGCAGUAGGGAAUCUUCCGCAAUGGACGAAAGUCUGACGGAGCAACGCCGCGUGAGUGAUGAAGGUUUUCGGAUCGUAAAGCUCUGUUGUUAGGGAAGAACAAGUGCCGUUCAAAUAGGGCGGCACCUUGACGGUACCUAACCAGAAAGCCACGGCUAACUACGUGCCAGCAGCCGCGGUAAUACGUAGGUGGCAAGCGUUGUCCGGAAUUAUUGGGCGUAAAGGGCUCGCAGGCGGUUUCUUAAGUCUGAUGUGAAAGCCCCCGGCUCAACCGGGGAGGGUCAUUGGAAACUGGGGAACUUGAGUGCAGAAGAGGAGAGUGGAAUUCCACGUGUAGCGGUGAAAUGCGUAGAGAUGUGGAGGAACACCAGUGGCGAAGGCGACUCUCUGGUCUGUAACUGACGCUGAGGAGCGAAAGCGUGGGGAGCGAACAGGAUUAGAUACCCUGGUAGUCGCACGCCGUAAACGAUGAGUGCUAAGUGUUAGGGGGGUUUCCGCCCCCUUAGUGCUGCAGGCUAACCGCCAUUAAGGCACUCCGCCCUGGGGGGGAGGUACCGGGUCCGCAAGGACUUGGAACCUGCGAGAGGAAUUUGGACGGGGGGCCCGCCACAAGCCGGUUGAGGCAUGGUGGGUUUAAUUCCGGAAGCACCGCGAGGACCUUACCAGGUCUUGACAUCCUCCUGACCAAUUCCCUUGGAGGU